UAUGACCCUGUGAUUAAUUGAGCGGCUGACCAAUCAUUACCUCCUCCUCCCUGCUCUUUCUACCCAAUAAAUACAAAGGGCUGUGGAAGCUCAAUGGGCUGCCUUUGCUCAUUAGAAGCAGGGAGCUCUCUUCUUCUUCCCCUGGAUCCUUCCUUUAAAAUAGUUUCUUUUGUCUUAAGUUUUCAUUUCUACGUUUGUCCCUUCAUUCAGUCUCUUAAAUGACGGUCUCAAGCAGUAACAGUAGUAAUUGCUGUAAUGACGGUCUCAAGUAGUAACCAGGGCACUCUGCCACAAGUGGCACCUGAACAGGGACUAACAGGGACUAUCAAGAACAAACGGAGACCUGAAGAGACCUGAAGGGAACUGAAGAGGUCUGCAGGGACAAAUAGAGAUAAGUAGGGAUAAAUAGAGAUAAAUAGAGACAAAUAGAGAUAGGUAAGGAAUGACAGGGACUUGCAGGAAGUAACAGGGACCAUAGGGACAGAUAGGGAUAGAUAAAGACUAGCAAAGACUAGCCGAGAUUAGCAAAGACCAGCAAGGACUAGCAGAGACUAGCAAAGACUAGCAGAAACUUGCAGGGACAGGCAGAGACAGAUAGGGACAGAUAGGGUCCUACAGGGACUUGAACGAGGAAGAUCUGCUGGAAAAGAAAAGAACUACAACCAACCAGAUGAACAAGAAACCCUGUUACAAGUCUGCUGGCAGCAACAUAAGGAAAUGAACAAAAAGUGUGGGUGCCCCCAAGGUGUGUACUACCAUGGAAUGGGAGAUUGGAGGGACACAUGGAUCCCAACCGUGGGCCUGGUUCCCCCAGUAUGAGCUGAAUACGAAGACAGAACAAACCACCAACCGGCAAUUGAAGGAUGAUGCCCAUUCUAUUUCCUAGGAAGGGAUAAGUUUUAAGGCCUUAUAAAAAGUGACACAAAGUGAACCGGGUUCUAUAAAUUACCAUGGAAAGUGGUGAGCCAACGAUUUGGCAGAACAAAACCCUGAGGAUAUGCAAACAAAAGGGACUAUGGAAUUUGCAAUUGCAGAUUAAAAUUGAAGAAGAAAACAUUUGAGUUGCAAAUACCGUAUUAAAAGUGGACACUGCUUAUGACUGCUGUAUGCAACAGUUUUUCAGGCCCGAGAGGAACCCAGACAUGCUCUAUUUGCAAACCGACUGCAUGAAACAAAAAGCACGGUAAUUCUGAAGCUGUUGGCUUGGAUGAAAUGAGAAUGUAAUUAAAAAGAAAAAGGUUAGCAAAAGAACAUGCUGGGAAUUGAAAAUAAAAAUCUGAAAUGAUGUCCCAGCCUGCCCUUAAGGUCUUUUCCACCAUGUAGAGAGCUACCUCAAAUGCUCUACUUGUCCCAGAGUCUAUGUUCUUUCACUACUAUUGCCUAUAUCUGUGUUUUCUGCUUUCAAUAAUCUAUUGAAAUAAUCAAAAUUAAUUACAUUCAGCAUUUUUUCUGUAUUACUCUGAUUCUAAUAAUUACCUCAAAUUUAUUUGUGCAUUUCUAUACUAGAAAGAAAAAAUAAUUUUUAGAGUUUUACUAUAUCUUCCCCUUAAUUCUAAGUUGCUUGUCACUAAUUCCUUUCCCAACACUAUGUUAUUUCCACCAAGAACAUUACCAAUAUCUUCAGGAAAAUUCCACCCCAUAUUUUAAGCCAGAUUGAUUAUUGGGAAUAUAAAUACAUUUAAGAAGGAAAGUCUUUUUGACUGUGUUUCUCCACAGACCAAUAGUAUACAAAACACAGAAGGCUUUUAAGCACAUUUCAUAGGGAUCACUGACUUAGAACAGAAGGAACCAUUUCGUGAAACACUCUCAUUUUGCACAUAAAGGAGCUGUGGCCCACAGAGGAAUAUGAUUUACUGAGAGUGACCCAGUUAGUGGCCAUAAACCAAAAGCCCCAAGAUGCUAAAUGUUUGUUAUGAAGAGUAAAAAUCCUCCCAGUUUAUAAGAAGUAACUUCAUCCUUCCAUUUUCUAUUUCCACGAUGACUCCCCUGGCUUAAAUUUUAAUCUCUAUUUUGGAUGACUCCAAAAUCUCAUUCUUCUAAAUUAAUUAUCUAAUACCACAAUGUUGCACUUAUCUUCCUACAAAUCUACUUUCAUCUGCCUUGACAAAGCCAACCCUAAUUUUCUCUAGUCCUCAUUAGAAAUUAUUGCAACAAAAAUUCACAUCCAGUCUGAAGUUUGGGAGCCAGAAAAGAAUUUUCCCAUUAAGAUGAGACAGUAUCAAUUAUUAAGCAGAGGAAGACACAAGAGGGAAAGCAGCUUUCACAUGAAAAAAAAAGAACUCUGAUUUUCUGACACAUUUUGUCAUUGCAGUCAAACUUUCAGAGUUAGAACUAGAGACCUAGAUAUUAGCUAACCCAGCAUUUUCCAAGUAUUCCUCGGAACUCUAGAGGCACAGCAUAGUACUGGUAAUGAUUUUGUGGCAGGAUAGAUUAAGGAAACCUCACAGUUAUACCAAGUUAAAUUCAUUUAUUUCAUGUAAAAUUCUGAUAGCCUUUUAUGCUACUAGGCCUAGUGAUACUCCAAAAUUAUUGGCCAUAUAUCUGAAAUUUAUUUCAGCAAGAAACCCUUUAAAGAGCAUCCCGCAGAGUUAGUGUUUUGAGGGAUAUCAUUGGGGAAAAUGCUGAUCUAGACCAAUUCAACAAAUUGUAACUUAGUUAACACCAGAGUCAAAACAAAAACCAAGUCUACUCAUGUCUGUCUUAGGCCCUUUUGGUCACAAAAACACGUUCAAACCACUUCAAUUAAGAAAAUGGUGAGAGGGGAAAAGACAAGCAGGGAACCUUAUCCCAGGUGGGCUGAUCACAGGACUUCCAAGGCUGUCCCUUAGAAGAGUCACGAUAAUGGCAUCUCUAGCACAAAACUCAAAUUUAGUUUUAAUUCUUAGUCGAAUAAUAAUACAGUAAAAUUUAUUGCAUGCAUAAGGAUAAUACAUUAAAACUACUUAAAUUACAUUUUAGGGCCGGGCGCGGUGGCUCACGCCUGUAAUCCCAGCACUUUGGGAGGCCGAGGCGGGUGGAUCACGAGGUCAGGA
rnacentral:lncRNA from 10 species